rnacentral:rRNA from 1 species
AGAGUUUGAUCCUGGCUCAGGAUGAACGCUGGCGGCGUGCUUAACACAUGCAAGUCGAACGGUGAACACGGAGCUUGCUCUGUGGGAUCAGUGGCGAACGGGUGAGUAACACGUGAGCAACCUGCCCCUGACUCUGGGAUAAGCGCUGGAAACGGCGUCUAAUACUGGAUAUGUGACGUGAUCGCAUGGUCUGCGUCUGGAAAGAAUUUCGGUUGGGGAUGGGCUCGCGGCCUAUCAGCUUGUUGGUGAGGUAAUGGCUCACCAAGGCGUCGACGGGUAGCCGGCCUGAGAGGGUGACCGGCCACACUGGGACUGAGACACGGCCCAGACUCCUACGGGAGGCAGCAGUGGGGAAUAUUGCACAAUGGGCGCAAGCCUGAUGCAGCAACGCCGCGUGAGGGACGACGGCCUUCGGGUUGUAAACCUCUUUUAGCAGGGAAGAAGUGAAAGUGACGGUACCUGCAGAAAAAGCGCCGGCUAACUACGUGCCAGCAGCCGCGGUAAUACGUAGGGCGCAAGCGUUAUCCGGAAUUAUUGGGCGUAAAGAGCUCGUAGGCGGUUUGUCGCGUCUGCUGUGAAAUCCGGAGGCUCAACCUCCGGCCUGCAGUGGGUACGGGCAGACUAGAGUGCGGUAGGGGAGAUUGGAAUUCCUGGUGUAGCGGUGGAAUGCGCAGAUAUCAGGAGGAACACCGAUGGCGAAGGCAGAUCUCUGGGCCGUAACUGACGCUGAGGAGCGAAAGGGUGGGGAGCAAACAGGCUUAGAUACCCUGGUAGUCC